rnacentral:rRNA from 1 species
GCAAGUCGAGCGAACGGACGAGAAGCUUGCUUCUCUGAUGUUAGCGGCGGACGGGUGAGUAACACGUGGAUAACCUACCUAUAAGACUGGGAUAACUUCGGGAAACCGGAGCUAAUACCGGAUAAUAUUUUGAACCGCAUGGUUCAAAAGUGAAAGACGGUCUUGCUGUCACUUAUAGAUGGAUCCGCGCUGCAUUAGCUAGUUGGUAAGGUAACGGCUUACCAAGGCAACGAUGCAUAGCCGACCUGAGAGGGUGAUCGGCCACACUGGAACUGAGACACGGUCCAGACUCCUACGGGAGGCAGCAGUAGGGAAUCUUCCGCAAUGGGCGAAAGCCUGACGGAGCAACGCCGCGUGAGUGAUGAAGGUCUUCGGAUCGUAAAACUCUGUUAUUAGGGAAGAACAUAUGUGUAAGUAACUGUGCACAUCUUGACGGUACCUAAUCAGAAAGCCACGGCUAACUACGUGCCAGCAGCCGCGGUAAUACGUAGGUGGCAAGCGUUAUCCGGAAUUAUUGGGCGUAAAGCGCGCGUAGGCGGUUUUUUAAGUCUGAUGUGAAAGCCCACGGCUCAACCGUGGAGGGUCAUUGGAAACUGGAAAACUUGAGUGCAGAAGAGGAAAGUGGAAUUCCAUGUGUAGCGGUGAAAUGCGCAGAGAUAUGGAGGAACACCAGUGGCGAAGGCGACUUUCUGGUCUGUAACUGACGCUGAUGUGCGAAAGCGUGGGGAUCAAACAGGAUUAGAUACCCUGGUAGUCCACGCCGUAAACGAUGAGUGCUAAGUGUUAGGGGGUUUCCGCCCCUUAGUGCUGCAGCUAACGCAUUAAGCACUCCGCCUGGGGAGUACGACCGCAAGGUUGAAACUCAAAGGAAUUGACGGGGACCCGCACAAGCGGUGGAGCAUGUGGUUUAAUUCGAAGCAACGCGAAGAACCUUACCAAAUCUUGACAUCCUUUGACAACUCUAGAGAUAGAGCCUUCCCCUUCGGGGGACAAAGUGACAGGUGGUGCAUGGUUGUCGUCAGCUCGUGUCGUGAGAUGUUGGGUUAAGUCCCGCAACGAGCGCAACCCUUAAGCUUAGUUGCCAUCAUUAAGUUGGGCACUCUAAGUUGACUGCCGGUGACAAACCGGAGGAAGGUGGGGAUGACGUCAAAUCAUCAUGCCCCUUAUGAUUUGGGCUACACACGUGCUACAAUGGACAAUACAAAGGGCAGCGAAACCGCGAGGUCAAGCAAAUCCCAUAAAGUUGUUCUCAGUUCGGAUUGUAGUCUGCAACUCGACUACAUGAAGCUGGAAUCGCUAGUAAUCGUAGAUCAGCAUGCUACGGUGAAUACGUUCCCGGGUCUUGUACACACCGCCCGUCACACCACGAGAGUUUGUAACACCCGAAGCCGGUGGAGUAACCUUUUAGGAGCUAGCCGUCGAAGGU